rnacentral:lncRNA from 1 species
UGACCCCUCAACGAUAUCCAGCCCGUUUCCCAUCGACUCCGACGAGAUUUUGUGUAUGAGUCUUCUCGAUUUUUCAUAAUUUUAGUCUCGGUUUAUCUGGUAUUUCUUAUUUCUUCGUGCACGGAUAGUUGGAAAUCGAUGGUUUGGGGUUUCGAAUUUGAGAUCUUGGGUUGUUUUUGAGUUUUAUUCGGGUUUAUGGGUCAUUCAUCGUGAGGCUUUGUCAUGGUUUUUCAAUAUGUCCGGUUGAAUUCAAUAUCGAGUUUGGAGUUGUUCGUUGUGAGGUUCUCCGAUCGAGUAUUUUGGUCUUCGAAUUUCUUUAUUAUCGACAAGGGAUCAGUUUCAUCGAG